rnacentral:rRNA from 1 species
UACGUAGGGUGCAAGCGUUAAUCGGAAUUACUGGGCGUAAAGCGUGCGCAGGCGGUUUUGUAAGUCUGUCGUGAAAUCCCCGGGCUCAACCUGGGAAUUGCGAUGGAGACUGCAAGGCUAGAAUCUGGCAGAGGGGGGUAGAAUUCCACGUGUAGCAGUGAAAUGCGUAGAGAUGUGGAGGAACACCGAUGGCGAAGGGCAGCCCCCUGGGUCAAGAUUGAC